UGGGGAAUCUUGCGCAAUGGGCGAAAGCCUGACGCAGCAACGCCGCGUGGGGGAUGAAGGCCUUCGGGUCGUAAACCCCUUUCAGCAGGGACGAAACUGACGGUACCUGCAGAAGAAGCCCCGGCCAACUACGUGCCAGCAGCCGCGGUAAUACGUAGGGGGCGAGCGUUGUCCGGAUUCAUUGGGCGUAAAGAGCUCGUAGGCGGUUUGAUAAGUCGGGUGUGAAAUCUCCAGGCUCAACCUGGAGAGGUCACUCGAGACUGUUAUGACUAGAGUCCGGUAGGGGACCACGGAAUUCCUGGUGUAGCGGUGAAAUGCGCAGAUAUCAGGAGGAACACCAGUGGCGAAGGCGGUGGUCUGGGCCGGAACUGACGCUGAGGAGCGAAAGCGUGGGUAGCAAACAG
rnacentral:rRNA from 1 species